CCUGGUGGCCAUAGCCCGCGGGAACCACCCGAUCCCAUUCCGAACUCGGCAGUGAAAACGCGGCGCGCCGAUGAUAGUGCGGGGCCUCCCCGUGCGAAAGUAGGUCACCGCCAGGC
rnacentral:rRNA from 1 species